GAGGGUAUAGCUCAGUGGUAGAAUGUGUGCUUAGCAUGCAAGAGGUGCUGGGUUCAAUCCCCAGUACCUCCA
rnacentral:tRNA from 1 species